CGGAGGGUGCAAGCGUUAUCCGGAUUCACUGGGUUUAAAGGGUGCGUAGGUGGGGUGGUAAGUCAGUGGUGAAAUCUCCGAGCUUAACUUGGAAACUGCCAUUGAUACUAUCAUUCUUGAAUAUUGUGGAGGUCAGCGGAAUAUGUCAUGUAGCGGUGAAAUGCUUAGAUAUGACAUAGAACACCAAUUGCGAAGGCAGCUGGCUACACAUAUAUUGACACUGAGGCACGAAAGCGUGGGGAUCAAACAGGAUUAGAUACCCUGGUAGUCCACGCCCUAAACUAUGGAUACUCGACAUACGCGAUACACUGUGUGUGUCUGAGCGAAAGCAUUAAGUAUCCCACCUGGGAAGUACGAUCGCAAGAUUG
rnacentral:rRNA from 1 species